rnacentral:lncRNA from 1 species
AACAUGCCAUAGUGCGCCUGCGACCACACGGCCGGGGCGCUAGCGUUCGCCUUCAGCCACCAUGGGGAAUGGGAUGAACAAGGACAAGACAUUUCAAAGAAAGUAUUAAAUUCAUUCACGAGUGCCGGCUCCGCGGUGAGAGCUGCCUUGUACACUGCCUGGCCGGGGUCUCCAGGAGCGUGACACUGGUGAUCGCAUACAUCAUGACCGUCACUGACUUUGGCUGGGAGGAUGCCCUGCACACCGUGCGUGCUGGGAGAUCCUGUGCCAACCCCAACGUGGGCUUCCAGAGACAGCUCCAGGAGUUUGAGAAGCAUGAGGUCCAUCAGGUAAGCAGUUCUUAGGGGACAUCAGAGAUGCAGGCAGGUGCCCCUGAACGGUGCCCACAGUCUUUCCGUACACAGCCAGCAUCAUGGCGUUUGGAGUUGAAAGGCCCACAGAGGACAUCGGCUCCCAGGGCGCCCAGCUGCACCCCUUCAGAAGUCGUCACGAUCCCUCGUGCACCUGUUGAAGCCACAGGCGCCUACCCUUUGUCAUUCUCCUUGUGCCUG